rnacentral:rRNA from 1 species
UAGGGAAUCUUCGGUAAUGGGGGCAACCCUGACCGAGCAACGCCGCGUGAGUGAAGAAGGUUUUCGGAUCGUAAAGCUCUGUUGUAAGAGAAGAACGUGUGUGAGAGUGGAAAGUUCACACAGUGACGGUAACUUACCAGAAAGGGACGGCUAACUACGUGCCAG